rfam:Photobacterium iliopiscarium strain ATCC 51761 CFSAN029430_contig0004, whole genome shotgun sequence.
GGUGUCGGCUGAAUCAGAGAUUGGCGGCACAAAUUAAAACAUCUUGUAUUAGGAAUAAGUUAUGUCUCUGAAUGCAGAAACUAAAGCAGCAAUCGUUGCAGAUUACGCACAAUGUGAA